rnacentral:sRNA from 1 species
UCGUAUAGAUCACAGUUAUCUUUAUCCCAGUAAAGUUCUACUCCAGUUUUUCACUUCCAAAUCAUUUAAGUAGUUUUAAAGUACCAUUUAACAAGUAUUUACUCUAGAUUGUGGAGCACGCUUGAAAUAUGAGUGUACGCUUCUGCACGCCCCUGUGUUUUCAGCUCUCUAUUGGAGGCAUCAUCAUUCUGAAGGAUACCAGUGAAGACAUUGAGGAGCUGGUGGAACCUGUGGCAGCACAUGGCCCAAAAAUCGAGGAGGAGGAACAAGAGCCAGAACCCCCAGAACCAUUUGAGUAUAUUGAUGAUUAAGGACCAGAGGAUCUCACUUGCUUAUCUGAAGAAGAUUGUCCAGGCUCAUAUUGGGAAUGCUUAUGAGGAAAUUCAUGCUGAGACCUGCUAUUCAAUGCAUGUAUCGUUGCCUCUGCACUGACCUGAAGAACCCUGUCUCCAAGUCUUUGGUUGAAGAGAAGAUAUAUGACUGUUGAGUGUGCUCUUUCACAGAACUUGGUUUUCAAAUAAAUAUAAGAUCUCCAGAUGGACAAGA